rnacentral:rRNA from 2 species
GAUGCCUGCCCGGUGACCUGAGGUUCAACGGCCGCGGUAUCCUAACCGUGCAAAGGUAGCGCAAUCAAUUGUCCCAUAAAUCGAGACUAGUAUGAAUGGCUAAACGAGGUCUUAACUGUCUCUUGCAGGCAAUCGGUGAAAUUGAUCUCCCUGUGCAAAAGCAGGGAUAAACCCAUAAGACGAGAAGACCCUGUGGAACUUUAAAAACAGCAGCCACCCCAAUAUACAUACACACCCACUGGGCUCACUUAACCUAUAAGCCACUGGCCUGCAUUUUUUCGGUUGGGGCGACCUUGGAGAAAAACAAAUCCUCCAAAAACUGGACCAUAAAUCUAGACCUAGAGCAACCCCUCGAAGUGCGAACAGCAACCAGACCCAAUAUAAUUGAUCAAUGGACCAAGCUACCCCAGGGAUAACAGCGCAAUCUCCUCCAAGAGUCCAUAUCGACGGGGAGGUUUACGACCUCGAUGUUGGAUCAGGACAUCCUAGUGGUGCAGCCGCUACUAAG